AUAUAUAUAUAUUGGUGAAUAUGGCGGCGGCAUUUAAAGCACUUCACAGACCACAGUCACAUUGAUUUUCCUCUUUAAUUAAUACAGUGCCUUUGUUCUGUUUUACAGUAUACGGCAAAAUAUUUACUUCAAAAACUAUUUAAAGUUGUAAGCUGUAUCAAAGCUUGUAAACAAAUUAUAAAUUAUGGCUGUAUAAGCCUGUAUGCCUAUAUAAAAAUAUCACAGAUUCGGACGACGUUGUUGAAACAGUAGUUUAUAUUUUUUACCUGAAAUUCCUGCUUUCGGUUCAAACAAUUCGACCAUGUGCAUUUGUGUUGAUCUCCCUCAACAAUCCCAUCAUUUUUAAUGGCUUUCACACCAUGGCUUUCGUUUAAUAUUUGUAAUCUCGCCUUGGUUUUAUAACUUCUGAGGUUUUCAAUGUUCCUGGCAAGCAACA